rnacentral:rRNA from 1 species
GACGAACGCUGGCGGCGUGCUUAACACAUGCAAGUCGAACGGUGAAGCUCCAGCUUGCUGGAGUGGAUCAGUGGCGAACGGGUGAGUAACAAGUGAGCAACCUGCCCCUGACUCUGGAAUAAGCGCUGGAAACGGCGUCUAAUACUGGAUACGAGAAGGGUCCGCAUGGGCACUUUCUGGAAAGUUUUUCGGUUGGGGAUGGGCUCGCGGCCUAUCAGCUUGUUGGUGAGGUAAUGGCUCACCAAGGCGACGACGGGUAGCCGACCUGAGAGGGCGACCGGCCACUCGGGGGCUGAGACACGGCCCAGACUCCAACUGGAGGCAGCAGUGGAGAAUAUUGCACAGUGGGCCAAAGCCUGUUGCAGAGACCCCGCGGGCGGGAUGACCGCCUUCGGGUUGUGAACGUCUUUCAGCAGGGAAGGAGCGAAAGUGACGGUACCUGCAGAAGAAGCACCGGCUAACUACGUG